GGUUUAAUAGUCAAAAAUGAUUUUAAAUUGCAAAUUUAAAGGUAGAGUAAUCUUUAAGCCU
rnacentral:tRNA from 1 species